UAGAGUUUGAUCAUGGCUCAGGAUGAACGCUGGCGGCGUGCCUAACACAUGCAAGUCGAACGGAGUUACGAUGAAACCUAGUGAUUCGUAACUUAGUGGCGGACGGGUGAGUAACGCGUGGAUAACCUGCCUUACACUGGGGGAUAACACUUAGAAAUAGGUGCUAAUACCGCAUAAGCGCACAGAGCCGCAUGGCUCAGUGUGAAAAACUCCGGUGGUGUAAGAUGGAUCCGCGUCUGAUUAGCUGGUUGGCGGGGUAGAAGCCCACCAAGGCGACGAUCAGUAGCCGGCCUGAGAGGGUGAACGGCCACAUUGGGACUGAGACACGGCCCAAACUCCUACGGGAGGCAGCAGUGGGGAAUAUUGCACAAUGGGGGAAACCCUGAUGCAGCGACGCCGCGUGAGUGAAGAAGUAUUUCGGUAUGUAAAGCUCUAUCAGCAGGGGAGAAAAUGACGGUACCUGAUUAAGAAGCCCCGGCUAACUACGUGCCAGCAGCCGCGGUAAUACGUAGGGGGCAAGCGUUAUCCGGAUUUACUGGGUGUAAAGGGAGCGUAGACGGCAGCGCAAGUCUGAAGUGAAAUGCCGGGGCUUAACCCCGGAACUGCUUUGGAAACUGAGCAGCUAGAGUGCAGGAGAGGAUCGUGGAAUUCCAUGUGUAGCGGUGAAAUGCGUAGAUAUAUGGAGGAACACCAGUGGCGAAGGCGACGAUCUGGCCUGCAACUGACGCUCAGUCCCGAAAGCGUGGGGAGCAAAUAGGAUUAGAUACCCUAGUAGUCCACGCCGUAAACGAUG
rnacentral:rRNA from 1 species